rnacentral:rRNA from 1 species
UACGGAAGGGGGCUAGCGUUGCUCGGAAUUACUGGGCGUAAAGCGCACGUAGGCGGCUUUGUAAGUUAGAGGUGAAAGCCCGGGGCUCAACUCCGGAAUUGCCUUUAAGACUGCAUCGCUAGAAUUGUGGAGAGGUAAGUGGAAUUCCGAGUGUAGAGGUGAAAUUCGUAGAUAUUCGGAAGAACACCACGUGGCGAAGGCGACUUACUGGACACAUAUUGA